rnacentral:rRNA from 1 species
UGGGGAAUUGUUCACAAUGGGCGAAAGCCUGACCCAGCAACGCCGCGUGAAGGAUGAAGUAUUUCGGUAUGUAAACUUCGUAAGAAUAGGAAGAAUAAAUGACGGUACUAUUUGUAAGGUCCGGCUAACUACGUGCCAGCAGCCGCGGUAAUACGUAGGGACCAAGCGUUGUUCGGAUUUACUGGGCGUAAAGGGCGCGUAGGCGGCGUGGUAAGUCAUCUGUGAAAUCUCCGAGCUUAACUCGGAACGGUCAGAUGAUACUGCUGUGCUAGAGUACAGAAAGGGCAAUCGGAAUUCUUGGUGUAGCGGUGAAAUGCGUAGAUAUCAAGAGGAACACCUGAGGCGAAGGCGGGUUGCUAGGCUGAUACUGACGCUGAGGCGCGAAAGCUAGGGUAGCAAACGGGAUUAGAUACCCAUGUAGUCCCUGAGCGGGCUGGCAAGGCGCAU